ensembl:snoRNA U3 Small nucleolar RNA U3
AAGACUAUACUUUCAGGGAUUAUUUCUAUAGUUCGUUACUACAAAAGUUUCUCUGAAAUGUAAAUUAAAAUU